UUGAGUGGCAUUAGAAUGUAAUUAAAAUGUUAUUUUAAGGGUGAGUUUAUCUUUGUACUUCAGUUUUAAUAGUAUAUAGUAGAUUUUGAUCCGCGCUUUUAAAGCACGAGAAUAUAUUUGUUGACAAUUUAUUGAUAUAACUGUUUGUUAACUAAUUUAUUUCGCUAUAAACAUUUUCGAUUUUCGUUCGACUCUAAUUUGUUUUUAUUGGUUUUGGUUUUUGGUUUAGAAAUAUAUGAAAAAUUUUGGUUAUAUAUGAAGUUGAGCUUUGGUUAAAGUGAUUGAAUAUUUUGAUAUUUUGUGUGGUAUGGAUAUAUAAAAAUUUCGAAUUUUUCGGUUUUGGUUACAUUUCUGUUUUAAAUCAUUUCAAAUAAGUGAGGUAAAAUAAAAAAAAUCCUCAUAUUGUGAAUCACCAAUAUAAUAAAAUGGGAGAAAUAUUUAGAAAAUUAUUUUAUUUACAUAUCUAUUUAUUUUAAGGUAUAAAUAAUAUAGCAAAGAAUAACAAAUAAUUUUAAUAAAAUAAAGUUACUAUAUUCAGAA
rnacentral:lncRNA from 1 species